UACAGAGGAGCCAAGCGUUGUCCGGAUUGACUGGGCGUAAAGCGCACGCAGGCGGUCGGGCGCGUGGGGUGUGAAAUCUGGCCGCUUAACGGCCAGGCGCCAUCCCAUACGGCCGGACUGGAGUGAUGCAGAGGUCGGUGGAAUUGCCGGUGUAGUGGUGAAAUGCGUAGAUAUCGGGAGGAACACCGGUGGCGAAGGCGGCCCCCUGGUUGGAUACUGACGCUGAGACGCGAAAGCGUGGGGAGCAAACAGG
rnacentral:rRNA from 1 species